UUCCGGUUGAUCCUGCCGCCGGCCACUGCUAUCAGGUUUCGACUAAGCCAUGCGAGUCAUGGGGUCGCAAGACACCGGCGUACCGCUCAGUAACACGCGGACAAUCUAACCCCAGGUGGGGCAUAACCUCGGGAAACUGAGGGUAAUUCCCCAUAGCUACCAUAUGCUGGAAUGCUUUGGUGGCAAAAGCUCCGGCGCUUGAGGAUGAGUCUGCGACCUAUCAGGUAGUAGGUGGUGUAAUGGACCACCUAGCCUCAGACGGGUACGGGCCCUGGGAGGGGUAGCCCGGAGAUGGACUCUGAGACAUCAGUCCAGGCCCUACGGGGCGCAGCAGGCGCGAACACUGUGCAAUGCGCGAAAGCGCGACACGGGGAGCUUGAGUGUCUUGGCAUAGCCAAGACUUUUCUCAUUCCUAAAAAGCAUGAGGAAUAAGUGCUGGGUAAGACGGGUGCCAGCCGCCGCGGUAACACCCGCAGCACAAGUGGUGGUCACUUUUAUUGAGCCUAAAGCGUUCGUAGCCGGUUUUGUAAAUCUUUAGAUAAAGCCUGAAGCUUAACUCCAGAAAGUCUGAAGAGACUGCAAGACUUGAGAUCGGGUGAGGUUAAACGUACUUUCAGGGUAGGGGUAAAAUCCUGUAAUCCCGGAAGGACGACCAGUGGCGAAAGCGUUUAACUAGAACGAAUCUGACGGUAAGGAACGAAGGCUAGGGUAGCAAACCGGAUUAGAUACCCGGGUAGUCCUAGCUGUAAACACUGCCCAUUUGAUGUUGCUUUUCCGUUGAGGGAAGGCAGUGUCGGAGCGAAGGUGUUAAAUGGGCCGCUUGGGAAGUAUGGUCGCAAGACUGAAACUUAAAGGAAUUGGCGGGGGAGCACCGCAACGGGAGGAAUGUGCGGUUUAAUUGGAUUCAACGCCGGAA
rnacentral:rRNA from 1 species